rnacentral:rRNA from 1 species
AUGAACGCUGGCGGCGUGCCUCAUCCAUGCCCGUCGAGCGAACAGACGAGGAGCUUGCUCCUCUGACGUUAGCGGCGGACGGGUGAGUAACACGUGGAUAACCUACCUAUAAGACUGGGAUAACUUCGGGAAACCGGAGCUAAUACCGGAUAAUAUAUUGAACCGCAUGGUUCAAUAGUGAAAGACGGUUUUGCUGUCACUUAUAGAUGGAUCCGCGCCGCAUUAGCUAGUUGGUAAGGUAACGGCUUACCAAGGCAACGAUGCGUAGCCGACCUGAGAGGGUGAUCGGCCACACUGGAACUGAGACACGGUCCAGACUCCUACGGGAGGCAGCAGCAGGGAAUCUUCCGCAAUGGGCGAAAGCCUGACGGAGCAACGCCGCGUGAGUGAUGAAGGUCUUCGGAUCGUAAAACUCUGUUAUUAGGGAAGAACAAAUGUGUAAGUAACUAUGCACGUCUUGACGGUACCUAAUCAGAAAGCCACGGCUAACUACGUG